rnacentral:rRNA from 1 species
UACGUAGGCAGCGAGCGUUGUUCGGAGUUACUGGGCGUAAAGAGUGCGUAGGCGGUUUUCUAAGUUUGGUGUGAAAUCUCCCGGCUUAACUGGGAGGGUGCGCCGAAGACUGGAAGGCUUGAGUAUGGGAGAGGGAUGCGGAAUUCCAGGUGUAGCGGUGAAAUGCGUAGAUAUCUGGAGGAACACCGGUGGCGAAGGCGGCAUCCUGGACCAAUACUGACGCUGAGGAGCGAAAGCCAGGGGAGCAAACGGG